rnacentral:rRNA from 1 species
AUUGAACGCUGGCGGCAUGCUUUACACAUGCAAGUCGAACGGUAACAGGCCUUCGGGUGCUGACGAGUGGCGAACGGGUGAGUAAUGCAUCGGAACGUGCCCAGAGGUGGGGGAUAACGCAGCGAAAGCUGUGCUAAUACCGCAUGUGAUCUGAGGAUGAAAGCGGGGGACCAAGCAGCAAUGUUUGGCCUCGCGCCUCUGGAGCGGCCGAUGUCAGAUUAGGUAGUUGGUGGGGUAAAGGCCUACCAAGCCGACGAUCUGUAGCUGGUCUGAGAGGACGACCAGCCACACUGGGACUGAGACACGGCCCAGGCUCCUACGGGAGGCAGCAGUGGGGAAUUUUGGACAAUGGGCGCAAGCCUGAUCCAGCAAUGCCGCGUGCGGGAAGAAGGCCUUCGGGUUGUAAACCGCUUUUGUACGGAACGAAAAGGCUCUGGCUAAUACCUGGGGCUGAUGACGGUACCGUAAGAAUAAGCACCGGCUAACUACGUG